rnacentral:rRNA from 1 species
CCUACGUGGUGCAGCAGUGAGGAAUAUUGGUCAAUGGACGAGAGUCUGAACCAGCCAAGUAGCGUGAAGGAUGACUGCCCUAUGGGUUGUAAACUUCUUUUAUAUGGGAAUAAAAUGUUCCACGUGUGGGAUUUUGUAUGUACCAUAUGAAUAAGGAUCGGCUAACUCCGUGCCAGCAGCCGCGGUAAUACGGAGGAUCCGAGCGUUAUCCGGAUUUAUUGGGUUUAAAGGGAGCGUAGGUGGAUUGUUAAGUCAGUUGUGAAAGUUUGGGGCUCAACCGUAAAAUUGCAGUUGAAACUGGCAGUCUUGAGUACAGUAGAGGUGAGCGGAAGUCGUGGUGUAGCGGUGAAAUGCUUAGAUAUCACGAAGAACUCCGAUUGCGAAGGCAGUUCACUGGACUGCAACUGACGCUGAGGCUCGAAAGUGUGGGUAUCAAACAGGAUUAGAUACCCGGGUAGUC